UAUACUGCAUUCUUUUAUGCACAUUAAAUUUUGCAUGGGGUGUGACACUCAUCACUCUGGUUGGAUGCUUGUGGUGAGGGUUGUAGUAAUGUCUCACAAGAAGGAAGCAAUUCUCUAUAGGUUUGAUUCCUCCUUCGAGUUGCACUUAAACCUUCAAGAAGAGGUUCCGAUGUUUUCUUGCUCCUAGUCCGAAUUGUAUCCUGCAUACACAAGAAACAAACCCUAAAAAGCACUUUUAUAUAAAAAAAAAAUAAAACAAAAACAAAAAAUCAAGUCAAAGUUAAUCCAUAAUCACACUACUAGAAUAGUUAAACCACGAGUCCUAG
rnacentral:lncRNA from 1 species